AUUGAACGCUGGCGGCAGGCCUAACACAUGCAAGUCGAGCGGAUGAAGGGAGCUUGCUCCUGGAUUCAGCGGCGGACGGGUGAGUAAUGCCUAGGAAUCUGCCUGGUAGUGGGGGAUAACGUCCGGAAACGGGCGCUAAUACCGCAUACGUCCUGAGGGAGAAAGUGGGGGAUCUUCGGACCUCACGCUAUCAGAUGAGCCUAGGUCGGAUUAGCUAGUUGGUGGGGUAAAGGCCUACCAAGGCGACGAUCCGUAACUGGUCUGAGAGGAUGAGCAGUCACCCUGGAACUUGGACACGGUCCAGACUCCUACGGGAGGCAGCAGUGGGGAAUAUUGGACAAUGGGCGAAAGCCUGAUCCAGCCAUGCCGCGUGUGUGAAGAAGGUCUUCGGAUUGUAAAGCACUUUAAGUUGGGAGGAAGGGCAGUAAGUUAAUACCUUGCUGUUUUGACGUUACCAACAGAAUAAGCACCGGCUAACUUCGUG
rnacentral:rRNA from 1 species